rnacentral:rRNA from 1 species
CCUACGGGAGGCAGCAGUGAGGAAUAUUGGUCAAUGGCCGUAAGGCUGAACCAGCCAAGUCGCGUGAAGGAAGAAGGAUCUAUGGUUUGUAAACUUCUUUUAUAGGGGAAUAAAGGUAUCCACGUGUGGAUAUUUGCAUGUACCCUAUGAAUAAGCAUCGGCUAACUCCGUGCCAGCAGCCGCGGUAAUACGGAGGAUGCGAGCGUUAUCCGGAUUUAUUGGGUUUAAAGGGUGCGUAGGCGGACGCUUAAGUCAGCGGUAAAAUUGCGGGGCUCAACCUCGUCGAGCCGUUGAAACUGGGUGCCUUGAGUGGGCGAGAAGUACGCGGAAUGCGUGGUGUAGCGGUGAAAUGCAUAGAUAUCACGCAGAACUCCGAUUGCGAAGGCAGCGUACCGGCGCCCAACUGACGCUGAAGCACGAAGGCGUGGGUAUCGAACAGGAUUAGAUACCCCAGUAGUC